AAGUGUUGUUACUAUUAACCGUUUUAAUUUUUACUUCCUCUUUCGUUUUAAAAUAAAAUCUGUACGCUUUCGUAGAAGCCGCUCGGAUAUCUGGGGAUUAAAAUGGCAGCUUUUGCACUUGAUGUAUUACCACUCAGAAGGUAACAAAAUGACGCCAGGGACAUCAAAAAUCAUAAGUAUUCACAGACGUUCGUUUUCUGGUUAGUAUAAAACAAGAUAGAAAAGCGUCUUUGCAUGAGACACAGGACAGGAGGAAAUAAUAUGCAGUUGCACUACAAAGAGUACACAUAGUGGCAAAAUACGACCAAUACAAAAAUAUUGUAUUCCUUUCGCCAACGCAAUGAAUAAGCAGCGGCGAGUCGGAUAGAAAUCAUUAGCUCUGGGGGCAGCGGUAUUUUAUACAGAAAUACUUACCAGAGUACGUAAGAAAAUGCGUCGGAACAGAUGACUGUCUUAUAAAUCAAAAUGGUGAUAAUACGUGAAGAAACAAGACAGACGAAUACAAAUUUCAUUUGCAAUUCCGAUCAGAUCUACACAAUAUGUUCAUAUCACCACGAAAUAAGAGCGGGCAAGCGAGACUAUAUAUAAGGUGAAAUAUUUACCAAGUACAAAAGAGGUAAGACACUUAGUUAAGGUAACGGUUUCCAAGAGGUGACGUUCGUUCAAGAUUUAUGUGACAAUUCCUGAUAUGAGGGAGUCGAAAGUGAAGCAUAUUUAGAAAUAUAAAGAAUCAACACAUAGUUAAUCUAUAACAGUGUUUUUUCCGGAGAUAAAAAUAAUGUAACUUGCACGAAGCGGUGAAAAGUACCAUUAUUUGAAGUGUCCUUGCUGUUUGGUAAGGUUCAUUUGAAUAUAUUAACAGCUGGUCAUUCAUUGACUUUUCCUGUUGUCCAACGGUAUGCCCACAAUCAGAAACAAACAAAACCAAGUAUAGUUUGUUACAUUCAGCAUUCUACUGUCACCUAUAACCCCAAUGUUUUGCCAGAAGAGAAAAAAACUGCAUAUUUACGACGAUUCGAUAAUAUAUGAUAUUUUUAUCACACUCAUUUCUACAUAAAUAAAAUGGACGUAUACCGCUUCAGUGAUGUGUUAUAUAAAGUUUUGUAUUUAUUAUUUGUGUUCUAGUGAAUAAUUCUGCAUUUGGAUUUUAUAUAUUGAAAAAUGGAUUAUAGUCUAGAAGGUAGGUCUUUUUUAAAUAUAUUUGUAGAAUAUGAAAUAUGAUGCUAUGUCUACAAAAUACGUUUAAAUAACGUUUUAAGUGUUUUGGUCAACUGGCACCAGAACAAAAAGAAAAUGCCACUGUUCAUGUUAUACCUUGCCCCUAAGUAUACUAUAAGAACCAUGGUCAUGAACGGAAAAUUGCACUAGCCCAGUCAUACAUUUCUCACCUAAUACACGCAGUUUGAUAGAUGGGUACCAAACAUAUUGAACAAGCGGUUAUGUAUCUUCCAUCGUGCACCAGUCACACAGUCUCAAUAUUUCAUGUUACAGAGAUACUAUACACAUUUAUGUUUUCGUCAAGGGUACAGAAAAAACUUGCGUGAAUAUCCCUAAUGAACAUCCGGUCUAGAGGUCACAGCAGUGUACACAUGUUUGGCGAAAUGUAAACAAACAUAAUCAGAAUGCAAAAUAUUCAGUUAAACAAUAAAACUAGAAGUGAUGAAUGAAAUGAUUUUGAAUUUGAAGCCAUACAUUAGUAUAUUUCUGUACUGUUUAUUUAAUUCAUAUAGCACAUUUUAUGCUGCAUAAACGACGACUGACAUACAUUUUCACAUCAACCAAUCAGAAUAGUUUUAUAAUCUAGCCCAGAGCUUCACCAGGGAAGUUCAACCAAGGUUUUUCUACAACGUUGAGAAAACAAUAAAAAUUCUAAGAUAAGAAAUCGCGACUUUUUUGACCGGUAUACAAUGAAAGAUAAACUACCACUUGUUCAAUACCCAUAGUACAAAUUUACCGAUUUAUGCGGUUUAGGUAAGAAAUGCGUGAUUGAAGUGGGUUAGUAUAUUUAUUUUCCCGUUCAUGACCAUGGUUCUUAUAGAAUACUUAAGGUUAGGGUAUAACAUGUACAGGGGCAUUUUCAUUCUGGUCUGGUGCUAGUGUGUUUUGGUCUGCAUACAUUUUCUUCAAUACAGUUAAAGAAAGAUAACUGUUGAUGAUAUACUGUAGAACUAAUUAUACUUGCUUCCCUUUAGUUGAAGAACAAUGCUGAACACCACUAAUCUGGCUGUUCUUUAUUUAAGAUAAAAUCCACUUCGUUAAUACUUGUUAGAAAUUUUAGUAUUCUUGCAGUGUGAAGUCUUACAAUUUGGUUAUUAUCAUUAUAAGAUUCUGUAUAAAGGCACGAUGGUGAUUGUUUUAAGUUUGUGAAUUGUAAUAGUUUAACAAGCUUGGUACUCUCUUGUUUCAUUGAAAACAAUUUUAAUUGAUUUAUUACAUAGUACAAUCUAUGAUGAAUGUCGAUAAUGAAAUUCCCGCUAUAGAUUUCAAUUCAAUUUUUGACAUAUCACGCUAUCCCUUUAGUGUAAAUAAGUUAUAGUUCAGAAAUACUUAGACUGAUGUCCUACUCUUAAAUUUAUCUCUGUUUGAAAGAUAAUGUAAAUGGUGCAAAUGUACUAAAUCUAUAAAAGUUACCACAUUUGUGAUGUUGUCAUUUGUAUAAGCAAGAAAUAUGCUACCGACCCAUAUCAGAGAUUAUUAAAGAUAGUUUUGAAAUUGUUUAUAUUUAAAUCUAUAAAGAAAUACUAAAAAAAUGACAAUGUAAUGUUAGUGUAUAAUUUGAAGAAUAUGAAUAUUCAUUCAUAACUAGAUAUCAAUCGUAAAUAAAUCAAUCUUCAAGAUACUGAUUAAUUCAACAGUUUCUGUUUUAAGACCGUAUCUUAGCAGCAGAACCAGCGACAGUUUCUUAUUAUAAUUACAUCCACCAUCUUUAAGAAGGUAAAGCACUCGUUAACAAUAUGAAGUGAAAACUAUAAUAAUUAUUUUUGUUUCAGCAAUCAUAUUCGCGUAAUUGCUACAGUGUAGCCCGUUAUCAAUGAUAACGUUGGUCUUAUAUUUUUAGGAAAAAAUAUAUACAUUAUGACAUUUAUAAUAUUUUGUACAGAUAACCGUAGCCGUUGUUUUGAUUUCAUUGUUUAAUUCCGCUUCAUAUCAGAUACACGAAACUGGAAUUGCUGGAAGUGUUGAAUAAAUCAAUACAUACAUACAAACAGAUUUAAUUGUCAGUGACCAUUGAAUAUCUCCAUGGGGAAGAGAAAAACGAAAGAAGGACAAUUUCUUAGUCCAGUUGAUCUAAGUUUAAGAUCUUCAUUUUUAAAGUUUUAGA
rnacentral:lncRNA from 1 species